rnacentral:rRNA from 1 species
GUAGGGUGCGAGCGUUAAUCGGAAUUGCAGGGCGUAAAGCGUGCGCAGGCGGUUCGUUAAGUUCGUUGUGAAAGCCCCGGGCUCAACCUGGGAACUGCAAUGGAAACUGGCGGGCUUGAGUAUGGCAGAGGGGGGUGGAAUUCCGCGUGUAGCAGUGAAAUGCGUAGAGAUGCGGAGGAACACCGAUGGCGAAGGCAGCCCCCUGGGCCAAUACUGACGCUCAGGCACGAAAGCGUGGGGAGCAAACAGGAUUAGAUACCCUGGUAGUCCACGCCCUAAACGAUGCUCACUAGGUGUUGGGGAAGCGAUUCCUUGGUACCGUAGCUAACGCGUGAAGUGAGCCGCCUGGGGAGUACGGCCGCAAGGUUA